UACGGGGGGGGGCAAGCGUUGUUCGGAAUUACUGGGCGUAAAGGGCUCGUAGGCGGCCAACUAAGUCAGACGUGAAAUCCCUCGGCUUAACCUGGGAAUUGCAUCCGAUACUGGAUGGCUUGAAUCCGGGAGAGGGAUGCGGAAUUCCAGGUGUAGCGGUGAAAUGCGUAGAAUAUCUGGAGGAACACCGGUGGCGAAGGCGGCGAUCCUGGACCGGCAUUGAC
rnacentral:rRNA from 1 species